GAGACGCUGGCGGCGUGCCUAACACAUGCAAGUCGAGCGGAGAUAAGCGGAUGGUAACUGAAGUUUGUCUUAGCGGCGGACGGGUGAGUAACACGUGGGCAACCUGCCUUGGAGUGGGGGAUAACACCGGGAAAUCGGUGCUAAUACCGCAUAACAUACACAUACUGCACGGUGAGUGUAUCAAAGGAGCAAUCCGCUUUAAGAUGGGCCCGCGGCUGAUUAGCUAGUUGGUAAGGUAACGGCUUACCAAGGCGACGAUCAGUAGCCGACCUGAGAGGGUGACCGGCCACACUGGAACUGAGACACGGUCCAGACUCCUACGGGAGGCAGCAGUGGGGAAUAUUGCGCAAUGGGGGAAACCCUGACGCAGCAACGCCGCGUGGAGGAAGAAGGUCUUCGGAUUGUAAACUCCUGUCUUCUGGGACGAAGUAUGACGGUACCAGAGGAGGAAGCCACGGCUAACUACGUG
rnacentral:rRNA from 1 species